GACGAACGCUGGCGGCGUGCCUAAUACAUGCAAGUAGAACGCUGAAGAGAGGAGCUUGCUCUUCUUGGAUGAGUUGCGAACGGGUGAGUAACGCGUAGGUAACCUGCCUUGUAGCGGGGGAUAACUAUUGGAAACGAUAGCUAAUACCGCAUAACAAUGGAUGACCCAUGUCAUUUAUUUGAAAGGGGCAAAUGCUCCACUACAAGAUGGACCUGCGUUGUAUUAGCUAGUAGGUGAGGUAACGGCUCACCUAGGCGACGAUACAUAGCCGACCUGAGAGGGUGCUCGGCCACACUGGGACUGAGACACGGCCCAGACUCCUACGGGAGGCAGCAGUAGGGAAUCUUCGGCAAUGGGGGCAACCCUGACCGAGCAACGCCGCGUGAGUGAAGAAGGUUUUCGGAUCGUAAAGCUCUGUUGUAAGUCAAGAACGAGUGUGAGAGUGGAAAGUUCACACUGUGACGGUAGCUUACCAGAAAGGGACGGCCAACUACGUG
rnacentral:rRNA from 1 species